rnacentral:rRNA from 1 species
UACGUAGGCAGCGAGCGUUGUUCGGAAUUACUGGGCGUAAAGAGUGUGUAGGCGGUGCUCCAAGUCUGGUGUGAAAUCUCCCGGCUUAACUGGGAGGGUGCGCCGGAAACUGGAGUGCUAGAGGAUGGGAGAGGUAAGCGGAAUUCCUGGUGUAGCGGUGAAAUGCGUAGAUAUCAGGAGGAACACCUGUGGUGUAGACAGCUUACUGGACCAUUUCUGACGCUGAGACACGAAAGCGUGGGUAGCAAACAGG